rnacentral:rRNA from 1 species
UACAGAGGGGGCAAGCGUUGUUCGGAAUUAUUGGGCGUAAAGGGUGCGUAGGCGGCUUGGCAAGUGGAAGGUGAAAUCCCUCGGCUUAACCGAGGAACUGCCCUCCAAACUGCUUCGCUUGAGACCGGGAGAGGUGAGUGGAAUUCCCAGUGUAGCGGUGAAAUGCGUAGAUAUUGGGAGGAACACCAGUGGCGAAGGCGGCUCACUGGACCGGUACUGACGCUGAUGCGCGAAAGCGUGGGGAGCAAACGGG